rnacentral:rRNA from 1 species
GGUGGCGAAGGCGGCCCCCUGGACAGAUACUGACACUCAGAUGCGAAAGCGUGGGGAGCAAACAGGAUUAGAUACCCUGGUAGUCCACGCCGUAAACGAUGUCUACUUGGAGGUUGUGCCCUAGAGGCGUGGCUUUCGGAGCUAACGCGUUAAGUAGACCGCCUGGGGAGUACGGUCGCAAGAUUAAAACUCAAAUGAAUUGACGGGGGCCCGCACAAGCGGUGGAGCAUGUGGUUUAAUUCGAUGCAACGCGA